UAAAAUCACAGUAAAAGGAUAUAUUGUUUGUAGCUCUUAGUUAAAGAAAGAUUUUCCACGGCUGAAAGAAAAUCACUAAACUAACAUCGAUGCUCCCUUUUAAUUAAACUUAUAGUAGCAAUACUAUCGCAUUCUUCGCGUUAUCGAAGACUUAAGAGGUAAUGAUACAUCCAAUGGAUUUCAUUGCAAACAAGGUGGUACCGCGAUUUUUUCGUCCUUGUA
rnacentral:ncRNA from 1 species